rnacentral:rRNA from 1 species
UACGUAGGGUGUAAGCGUUGUCUGGAAUUAUUGGGCGUAAAGAGCUCGUAGGCGGCUUGUCGCGUCGGCUGUGAAAACCUGGGGCUCAACCCCGGGUCUGCAGCCGAUACGGGCAAGCUAGAAUUCGGUAGGGGAGACUGGAAUUCCUGGUGUAGCGGUGAAAUGCGCAGAUAUCAGGAGGAACAUUGGUGGCGAAGGCGGGUCUCUGGGCCGAUACUGACGCUGAGAAGCGAAAGCGUGGGGAGCGAACAGG